AGUAGUUUGAUCAUGGCUCAGGACGAACGCUGGCGGCGUGCUUAACACAUGCAAGUCGAACGGUGAACCAGAGCUUGCUCUGGGGAUCAGUGGCGAACGGGUGAGUAACACGUGGGCAACCUGCCCCAGACUCUGGGAUAACUCCGGGAAACCGGAGCUAAUACCGGAUAUGACUACUUCGGACAUCCGACGGUAGUGGAAAGUUUUUCGGUCUGGGAUGGGCCCGCGGCCUAUCAGCUAGUUGGUGGGGUAAUGGCCUACCAAGGCGACGACGGGUAGCCGGCCUGAGAGGGCGACCGGCCACACUGGAACUGAGACACGGUCCAGACUCCUACGGAAGGCAGCAGUGGGGAAUAUUGCACAAUGGGCGAAAGCCUGAUACAGCGACGCCGCGUGAGGGACGACGGCCUUCGGGUUGUAAACCUCUUUCAGCAGGGACGAAGCGAAAGUGACUGUACCUGCAGAAGAAGCACCGGCUAACUACGUG
rnacentral:rRNA from 1 species